AUCUGGGCGGCGAAAUUCAUGAUGGUCGGGCGUGCAUCGCGCACGUUCCGGUCGUUUGAUGUUUUCGUCGCCGUGGCAGACGUCGCGACCUGUUUGCCGUCGGUCCUUGCUCGGAGGAGUCGCGAUCGAGUUCGUUGCGGGGCGUGUUUCGGCGCGCUCCGCGGCGAAGACGCGAAUCUCUGGCUGACGGCGGACAGUAAGCAACGGUGUCCGACGCCGUGUCUCGAGAGUUCGGCGUCGGUGCCGGUCAGCGACGAUUUCUUCGGGCCUCUUUCCGACCCGUCUUGAAACACGGACCAAGGAGUCUAACAUGCGCGCGAGUCGCGGGGUAUCGAGCGUACCACGGUGCGCUCGUUACGUCACGAAACCCGUACGUUGAAGGCGUAAUGAAAGUGAAUGGGGAAGAUGGCGUUCCGAGUUCACGUACCGCGAUCGCUGUAUCGCGGCCGGACGCCCGCAUUCCCGGGGUGUCUCAACAGCUCGUCGCGGAUGCGGACGGUCGUCCUUCGGGUCGGCCGUCGGUCUGCGACGGACCGA
rnacentral:rRNA from 1 species